rnacentral:rRNA from 1 species
GCGGAGGUAGUUCGGGGAGACAGGUGGUGCAUGGUUGUCGUCAGCUCGUGUCGUGAGAUGUUGGGUUAAGUCCCGCAACGAGCGCAACCCUAUUGCUAGUUACCAUCAUUAAGUUGGGGACUCUAGCGAGACUGCCAGUGAUAAACUGGAGGAAGGUGGGGAUGACGUCAAAUCAUCAUGCCCCUUAUGACCUGGGCUACAAACGUGAUACAAUGGCUGGAACAAAGGGAUGCGAAGCAGUGAUGUGGAGCGAAACCCAUAAAAACAGUCUCAGUUCGGAUUGAAGUCUGCAACUCGACUUCAUGAAGUCGGAAUCGCUAGUAAUCGCGGAUCAGAACGCCGCGGUGAAUACGUUCUCGGGGUUU